rnacentral:rRNA from 1 species
CCUACGGGAGGCAGCAGUGGGGAAUUUUGGACAAUGGGGGCAACCCUGAUCCAGCAAUGCCGCGUGUGUGAAGAAGGCCUUCGGGUUGUAAAGCACUUUUGUCCGGAAAGAAAUUGCUCUGGCUAAUACCUGGGGUAGAUGACGGUACCGGAAGAAUAAGCACCGGCUAACUACGUGCCAGCAGCCGCGGUAAUACGUAGGGUGCGAGCGUUAAUCGGAAUUACUGGGCGUAAAGCGUGCGCAGGCGGUUUUGUAAGACAGGCGUGAAAUCCCCGGGCUCAACCUGGGAAUUGCGCUUGUGACUGCAAGGCUAGAGUGCGUCAGAGGGGGGUAGAAUUCCACGUGUAGCAGUGAAAUGCGUAGAGAUGUGGAGGAAUACCGAUGGCGAAGGCAGCCCCCUGGGACGUGACUGACGCUCAUGCACGAAAGCGUGGGGAGCAAACAGGAUUAGAUACCCUGGUAGUCCACGCCCUAAACGAUGUCAACUAGUUGUUGGGGAUUCAUUUUCUCAGUAACGUAGCUAACGCGUGAAGUUGACCGCCUGGGGAGUACGGUCGCAAGGUUGAAACUCAAAGGAAUUGACGG